rnacentral:rRNA from 1 species
UACGGAGGGUGCAAGCGUUAUCCGGAUUCACUGGGUUUAAAGGGUGCGUAGGUGGGCAGGUAAGUCAGUGGUGAAAUCUCCGGGCUUAACUCGGAAAGGUCAAGUGAUACUGUCGGACUAGAGUACAGAAGGGGCAACUGGAAUUCUCGGUGUAGCGGUGAAAUGCGUAGAUAUCGAGAGGAACACCUGCGGCGAAGGCGGGUUGCUGGGCUGAUACUGACGCUGAGGCGCGAAAGCUAGGGGAGCGAACGGG